CUCCAGUCUGGGUAACAAGAGCGAAACUCCAUCUCAAAAAAAAAAAAAAAAAGGACUGAAUCAAACAUUUUCCCUUUUACUCUUUUUCACAGGGCUUGAUGCUACCUGUCUGGUUUCUAGCUCUGACUGAUGUAGAAGGAGGCUACUCUGAAAACUGCUGGGCCAGCUUGCUAACAACCAGAGGACAAAGCCAACACUAAAGAUCACAAAGCAAAGAGACACGAAAGAAAGUUCUCUCUUUAUGACAUUGCUGAGCCACAGAGCCAACCCUCCCUGGAGCCUCCAUAACCUCUGGACUUCUUGCUAUAUGAGGUGGAAGACGAAUUCAAAGCAAGAAGAAACAAUGAUGGACCAAGCGUCAGGACCACCGUUCUAGUCAGUAUUUAGGUGCCAUAUCACCUUUCUGAGCACCAGUUAUCUCAUUUACAGGAUGAAGAGGUUGCCUUAGACAGCAAUUCUCGUCCUGUCUGCCCAUUAGAAUCACCUGGAGAUUUAUAAAAAUAUGGACGGCUGGAUCAUAUCACUAGAUACUGAUUUAAUUGGUCUAGGAAGAGGAGCAGGGGUCGUACA